AGCAGCAGCACCCAAAGCUCUUGAGUCCUGCAUUGCCAUGUCCUACAGAUUUCCAAGGUGCCUGAGGAGGACCAAAACCUGAUUGAAGCUUUUCUAAUUGUCUGGAGGAUUCAUAUUAACUCUCACAUCAGUUAGCAUUUUCAUCACCAGUGAUUACAGACCUUCAGAGAGCUCUGGUAAAGAGAAUUCCUUCGCCAGACAGACAGCUCUGCAGUGUUUCUGUCUCAUGUGACUCCAGUGAAGGAGACCAGAGCUCUGCAGGUCACACCAGGAGACCUUUGCAAUGGUGGAGUCUAAACCAGAUUUUGUGUCUUUGUAUGUACUUUGAGUUUUUUGUAUGUACCUGGAUUUUUAUCAAAAUAUCAUUCUUUAGAAACUGCAGUUGUCAUAGUAAGUAAAAUAUUUUUAUGUAGAAGUUUAUGAUCUUGUACAAAAGGUCCUUUAUGAAAAAUUAUCCAUUAUUUGAGUUUUUGUAAAUCACCUAUACUUUGUAUUAAGUAUGUAAUGGUGGAAUUUAGUCUAAGAUUUCUGCAGAAUAUGAAAAUGUCUCUGACACUGUCUGCUCUAAUCAUGGAAUGUAUGUCUUCCUAAUAACACAGUGUAUUUGAAAAACAAUUAUAUGAUGUUCUCUUAUGUCUGAAUGCAUAAUAAAUGUAAUUGACUUACAGAAUAAUAAUUUGUUUUUAGUUAGGCAUGUAUUCAUCACUGAAUUGUUCACUUGUAGGUAUGCCUAAAAUCACCAUUGUAGAGAUCACCUUAGUUGCUGUUUUGGGUUGUUAAUUAAAAAAGUUGUCAUUAACCUGCAUGGUAUUUCAUUAUGUUAGGUACAAAGUUUUUUUUCAGCCAAUUUGAGAAGUAAAAUUGAUUUUGAAAUUCUCUUAUUUCAUGUGAUAAUAUAGCAAAAAUUAUGUUAAUUCACCCACAGUUAUCUAUCUGCUAUUUUUGCUUAUAAGAAGUUCUGCCCUGAAAAAAAAAAAUUAACAGAGCUGGAGGACUAUUUCUGCGAUACAACAUGCUAAAGUUAGAAGCUGAGAGUUGCAGUUUUGUCUUCACUUGUAAAAGGAUAUAGUUUUGGUUUUAUGUAAAUUUGAGACUGCAGUUUCUGUCUAACGAAACUAUACAUCAGAUUUUAUUUUUACCAGCUGGUUGCAUAUUUGCAAAAUUGAGCCAAAUGAAAUAUUUUAAAAAUUUCAGCCAAUUUUGAAAAUUUAUGAUGUCAGGAUGUUCUUACCUUAAAUUUCAGUAACCAGAAAGGGAAUGAAUCUGGCACCAUGCAACUUUGUGAUUCUCCAGUUCUAGUGCUGAAAAUGAGUUGUAUAGGUUUAACAGACAAAAAAAAAAAGUGAUCUUUUCUGUGCCAUUUGGUGUCAGUGGCAUGUUUCUAGAUUAAAAAAAAAAACUAUUGGAAAAAGUAUAACCCUUUAAGUGUGAAAAAUGUGCAUGUUAUUUUAAUCAGAAAUUUUGUUGUGUUUUUCACUUGUUUGGGUUUUAAAAUUUUUCCUCCUUUCUCUUACAAAGUCUAGCACAGAUAGGUUGGGUUUAGUCAAUGACUGGAAGUGCCUGGCUCAUUCUUCUGGCUAUUGAGUGAGUUUCAGUUUGUAAACUAUUUGCCUGAUUUUGGAAGAGGUGCACAUUUGCUUUAACAAUUGUACAAUUGCACAAUUGCUACAUGCACAAUUGCUUUAACAAAUACACCAUUUUCCCCCCUACUUUCACAGUUUUUGAGACACACAGCUGCUGUCCACAUUUGGAAGUGCUGUGCAGAGCUGGAGCCUACUGUGUUGCCACAUCCUGAGUUAAGAGUUCAUUUAUGGGGACAAAUAAGCUUGUGCCCCCAUAAUAAUUUGAAUUAUUUUAUGAGGUAAUAGUUUUCUUUAUCUUCUUAUGGUUUUAUUUUUUUAAAUGGAACCUAAAAUCGUAUCCACCUAGAGUACAAAAUCUUAUUAACGUGAUUAUUGAAAUAAGACUGUGAGUGUGCAUGAAGCUGUUAGAAUGGAAGUCUUCAAUAUGCAAGUACGCUUGCUACCAGUAAAUUUUGUUUUAUUUCAUCCUGUCAUGCUGGGAGUGAGUGUUGAAAGACGAACGGGCAAGUGUUGCUCAGGCAGAGGGGAGAAGCACGUCAUCCAGCCCCCAGAAUAGCAUCGGCAGUAAAUACGGUCAUGCUGUUCCUCCCCGAGAUAGACCCAGAUCACAUUCGUAGCACCCACCGGGUCUGCUGCUUACCAGACCUUCAGGCCUUUGAUGAAACAUUUACAAAUGCAGCUGCAGUUCAGAGGGAUCUUCUGCCAGCACUGAAGUAGCUGACAUCAAGAAAACGGGAGGAAACGGGAUCACAAGGCAUGGAGUUCAAACAAAACGCAGUUUAGGGGGAAUACAAAUUUAAUCACAGUAUGAAAAUGCUUCUCCAAGAUAUGAACCCUGUACUUGUUAAAACUCCCGUUGCGUGUUAGCUUGUUUCCCAGUGACGUAGAACUGUUAAAGCAUGAAGCUUUUGUAGAGGGGGAAAGGUGAACAGAAAAAUAGCUCUUUGUUCAAUUAUCUUGGGUCACACACAGUGUCAAAACUGGAAUUAAAAUAUAUUGUAAAAUGAAAUCAGAGAGAAGCUGAGAUUAAAAUUUUUUUCCAGUUUUAGUUAUUUCUAACUUUGUGCAAUAUAUUGAAAUGAAGUUAGAUAGCCCUGAAGGUCUGUGGCAGUGGCCUAUCUAGCACAUUAGAGGCGAAAUUUUAAUUAUUCAAGGCCAAGAAUUAAACCCUGUCAGUUUCUUCAUCUUGAAAAGAUAGAUUAUCCUACUGGG